rnacentral:lncRNA from 1 species
UUAGAUUGAUAUUAGAUUAUCAAAAAGUGUUUAUGGUUUACGUGAUUGGCCUAAUAAAAUUAAGUAUCAAGGCUCUGUUAGCAGAAACCCAAUUGAUAAUUAAUAUAUAAAAUUUUUAUAAUUACUACUUAUAUGAUCUGCAAAGUUAUGAUAAAAAAUUCUAUUAAAAAAUACAAAAAAUUGAAACCGGGUGAUCUAAAACGGUUGAUCAAAUAAAUAAUAUAAUUCAAAAUUUGUUCACUAUUUGACAGAAGACAUGUGAAAUAAAUGAAUUGAAAAAAAAAAGAAGGAGUAGUAAAAAAAAGACGCGGUAUUUGGUUCAUUUGUCCUAUAUGUGCAAAUCAAAAUCGGGCAAAUUUUUCCUUUUACUCGGGGUAGAGCAUAAACCUAAAAAUGGAUUAA